rnacentral:tRNA from 1 species
AGGUCUGUAGCUCAAAAAUGGUAGAGCGCUCAAAGUCCUUAUUGGGCUUUUGAGAGGUUGGUGGUUCAAAUCCACCCAGAUCUG